UACGUAGGGUGCAAGCGUUGUCCGGAAUUAUUGGGCGUAAAGAGCUCGUAGGCGGUUUGUCGCGUCUGCUGUGAAAACUCGGGGCUUAACUCCGGGCCUGCAGUGGGUACGGGCAGACUAGAGUGCGGUAGGGGAGACUGGAAUUCCUGGUGUAGCGGUGAAAUGCGCAGAUAUCAGGAGGAACACCGGUGGCGAAGGCGGGUCUCUGGGCCGUAACCGACGCUGAGGCGCGAAAGCCAGGGGAGCAAACGGG
rnacentral:rRNA from 1 species